rnacentral:rRNA from 1 species
UUAAGUUAUUAAGGGCGCACGGUGGAUGCCUUGGCACUAGAAGCCGAUGAAGGACGUUACUAACGACGAUAUGCUUUGGGGAGCUGUAAGUAAGCUUUGAUCCAGAGAUUUCCGAAUGGGGAAACCCAGCAUGAGUUAUGUCAUGUUAUCGAUAUGUGAAUACAUAGCAUAUCAGAAGGCACACCCGGAGAACUGAAACAUCUUAGUACCCGGAGGAAGAGAAAGAAAAUUCGAUUCCCUUAGUAGCGGCGAGCGAAACGGGAAGAGCCCAAACCAACAAGCUUGCUUGUUGGGGUUGUAGGACACUCUAUACGGAGUUACAAAGGACGACAUUAGACGAAUCAUCUGGAAAGAUGAAUCAAAGAAGGUAAUAAUCCUGUAGUCGAAAAUGUUGUCUCUCUUGAGUGGAUCCUGAGUACGACGGAGCACGUGAAAUUCCGUCGGAAUCUGGGAGGACCAUCUCCUAAGGCUAAAUACUCUCUAGUGACCGAUAGUGAACCAGUACCGUGAGGGAAAGGUGAAAAGCACCCCGGAAGGGGAGUGAAAUAGAACCUGAAACCGUGUGCUUACAAGUAGUCAGAGCCCGUUAAUGGGUGAUGGCGUGCCUUUUGUAGAAUGAACCGGCGAGUUACGAUUUGAUGCAAGGUUAAGCAGUAAAUGUGGAGCCGUAGCGAAAGCGAGUCUGAAUAGGGCGUUUAGUAUUUGGUCGUAGACCCGAAACCAGGUGAUCUACCCUUGGUCAGGUUGAAGUUCAGGUAACACUGAAUGGAGGACCGAACCGACUUACGUUGAAAAGUGAGCGGAUGAACUGAGGGUAGCGGAGAAAUUCCAAUCGAACCUGGAGAUAGCUGGUUCUCUCCGAAAUAGCUUUAGGGCUAGCCUCAAGUGAUGAUUAUUGGAGGUAGAGCACUGUUUGGACGAGGGGCCCCUCUCGGGUUACCGAAUUCAGACAAACUCCGAAUGCCAAUUAAUUUAACUUGGGAGUCAGAACAUGGGUGAUAAGGUCCGUGUUCGAAAGGGAAACAGCCCAGACCACCAGCUAAGGUCCCAAAAUAUAUGUUAAGUGGAAAAGGAUGUGGCGUUGCCCAGACAACUAGGAUGUUGGCUUAGAAGCAGCCAUCAUUUAAAGAGUGCGUAAUAGCUCACUAGUCGAGUGACACUGCGCCGAAAAUGUACCGGGGCUAAACAUAUUACCGAAGCUGUGGAUUGUCCUUUGGACAAUGGUAGGAGAGCGUUCUAAGGGCGUUGAAGCAUGAUCGUAAGGACAUGUGGAGCGCUUAGAAGUGAGAAUGCCGGUGUGAGUAGCGAAAGACGGGUGAGAAUCCCGUCCACCGAUUGACUAAGGUUUCCAGAGGAAGGCUCGUCCGCUCUGGGUUAGUCGGGUCCUAAGCUGAGGCCGACAGGCGUAGGCGAUGGAUAACAGGUUGAUAUUCCUGUACCACCUAUAAUCGUUUUAAUCGAUGGGGGGGACGCAGUAGGAUAGGCGAAGCGUGCGAUUGGAUUGCACGUCUAAGCAGUAAGGCUGAGUAUUAGGCAAAUCCGGUACUCAUUAAGGCUGAGCUGUGAUGGGGAGAAGACAUUGUGUCUUCGAGUCGUUGAUUUCACACUGCCGAGAAAAGCCUCUAGAUAGAAAAUAGGUGCCCGUACCGCAAACCGACACAGGUAGUCAAGAUGAGAAUUCUAAGGUGAGCGAGCGAACUCUCGUUAAGGAACUCGGCAAAAUGACCCCGUAACUUCGGGAGAAGGGGUGCUCUUUAGGGUUAACGCCCAGAAGAGCCGCAGUGAAUAGGCCCAAGCGACUGUUUAUCAAAAACACAGGUCUCUGCUAAACCGUAAGGUGAUGUAUAGGGGCUGACGCCUGCCCGGUGCUGGAAGGUUAAGAGGAGUGGUUAGCUUCUGCGAAGCUACGAAUCGAAGCCCCAGUAAACGGCGGCCGUAACUAUAACGGUCCUAAGGUAGCGAAAUUCCUUGUCGGGUAAGUUCCGACCCGCACGAAAGGCGUAACGAUUUGGGCACUGUCUCAACGAGAGACUCGGUGAAAUCAUAGUACCUGUGAAGAUGCAGGUUACCCGCGACAGGACGGAAAGACCCCGUGGAGCUUUACUGUAGCCUGAUAUUGAAAUUCGGCACAGCUUGUACAGGAUAGG